rnacentral:rRNA from 1 species
AGUGAACGCUGGCGGUAGGCCUAACACAUGCAAGUCGAACGGCAGCACAGGAGAGCUUGCUCUCUGGGUGGCGAGUGGCGGACGGGUGAGGAAUACAUCGGAAUCUACUCUGUCGUGGGGGAUAACGUAGGGAAACUUACGCUAAUACCGCAUACGACCUACGGGUGAAAGCAGGGGACCUUCGGGCCUUGCGCGAUUGAAUGAGCCGAUGUCGGAUUAGCUAGUUGGCGGGGUAAAGGCCCACCAAGGCGACGAUCCGUAGCUGGUCUGAGAGGAUGAUCAGCCACACUGGAACUGGGACGCGGGCCAGACUCCUACGGGAGGCAGCAGUGGGGAAUAUUGGACGAUGGGCGCAAGCCUGUUCCAGCCAUACCGCGUGGGUGAAGAAGGCCUUCGGGUUGUAAAGCCCUUUUGUUGGGAAAGAAAUCCAGCUGGCUAAUACCCGGUUGGGAUGACGGUACCCAAAGAAUAAGCACCGGCUAACUUCGUGCCAGCCGCCGCCGUAA